rnacentral:lncRNA from 1 species
GUUAGAAAAAUGGAUCAGUGCCAUUCCGAAUCCUCCACCUUCUCCUAAAAGGAAGAAUGCCAGGAUUUGCUCCCUCCAUUUCUUCAUAGAAGAUUUUAAGGUUUUUUCAACGUUUAAAAAGGCAUUAAAUGAUGAUGCUGUGCCGAAGGCAGGAUUGUGCUACCAGCCGUCCAAUCACUCUGUGUCAAACACAUCGUUGGGCGGUCAGUCAUCGGAGUUUAACUCGCCUGUGGGAGCAUCUUCUUUGUCUCCUUGCUCACCAUCUCCUCACAUUAACAAGGACACACUUCGUCGAAAUUAUGGUUCAAAAAGUCGAAGAGAGCUGUUUACUGUCAACUCAACACAAAUGGACGAUUCCAAAAACUGUAGCAUAGGAUCCUCGAGAGAAGGCUCCAACCCUGAUAAUGGUAAUUUACGCCUAUCCAACACUUUCAUUUCUUCUUCUGUUGUUGUAUUUUGGUUCUUCAUAAAUUCUCUAAGGAUCUCUUACAGACGGUUUCUUUGCCUGAUGUGAGAAUGUGCAACUUAUUUGCAGUAGCUAACGGUGUUCCCUUAUUUAAAGGUUUUGAGUAUCUUGCGUUCCAUUCAGUUGAAGAUUACUAUACUCUUACACAUUCUAAAGUGUAGGUGGAAAGUCUUAGUCCCCCUCAAUCUCAGAUCGUGAGCUUCUAGCUUGAGUCCCAUCUUGCUGUCUAAUACCGUUUUCUUGUCAUGCUAUACAAAUAUAGGCUGUAACUGCAGUGCAACUGAUUUUUAUUUUCAGCUACCUCUGAUCAACAUGCCCUCAUUUCCAUGUGCCAAGUCCUAUUGGAAAAAGGAAGCACAGUACGCCACACAAAGACACUACGCUGUGCAAGAAAAGUGCCGAAGUCAUCCCAGCCAUAGAAGGCAUUCUCUUUGUAGUGAGGAAAAAACUGGUCCAAGCAAGAACAGGGGACUCCUGGCUGAAAACCAGGAAUCUAAUUCCACAAAUGGAGAAAAAUCUUCGGGUCAGACUUUACUUGGCACUGUCUCAUCUCCAGGGCACAACAUCUUCAAUGUAACAGCAAAUCCCUCCUCAGAUCAUAAACAGCCGAUGCCAAGGAAGCGGCGUAAUGAUAGUGCUCGAGUGGCAGCUUUGAGAGAGAAGCUCAUACAGAAGAAUAGAACCAUCAACAAACUCAGGAUGCAAGUCAAAAGAUCAAAGCAUCCCAAAUCAGCCUCGAUCUCUGCAAGAGAAAUCGUUGCUGCAGCCAGACCGCACUUAAAACCAGCCAUGCGAAUUCUGCUUGAAGCACAGCUGAAGUUGAGCUCUCGUAAGAAGAAAGGAAUGAGAUGGAGUCAGGAGAUGAAAGAUUUUACAUUAGGUUUAAUGUAUCACGGCCCUAGGUGUUAUAGGUAUUUAUCAAAGUUGAUCCCUUUGCCGAGCAUUUCAACAAUAAAUCGGUAUCAAAGUGUAUUACAUCUUAAACCUGGUAUCCACGAGCAUGUUAAAGUAGGUUUGAAAGACAUUGUCACAACUUGGUCUCAAAAUAAGAAAAUUUGCACAUUGGUAAUCGAUGGAAUGUCAAUCAAGAGACACUUAGAGUAUGAUAACAAAAGAGAUUUUGUCAGUGGUUUUACAGAUGACGGUCUGAAUCGAUCAAGCAAGCCAGCCAAUCAAGGCAUUGUCGCUGUUCUCAAAGGCAUUCUUUCCCUUGGAAGCAAAUCGUUGGUCAUUGGCUGACCACUGACACUGAUCCUGCUGAUAUUAUACUCAAAGCUGUUAAAGAUUGUGUCGCUUUUGCGAAUGAAGCAGGUUUAAUCUUAAAACUGUUUGUUUGUGACCCUGGUUCAAAAAACAGGAAACUUGUGCGUGCAUUAGGUAUCA